CUCAGCUGGGGAUGGUGGAAGCCAAGCUGGGGACCCUCGCUCCAUACUGAAAGCUGUGUGGGGUCCUCUGCGAACACAGGGGUCCUUAAGCUCAGGAUGGGGACCUGGUAGUGGACUAGGAGACCCAGGGGGAAGCAAGUGAGACACUGGAUCUGAGGGAGCACGAUGGCAGUGUUUCUGGAGGCCAAGAACGCCCAUUCGGUCCUGAAGCGGUUCCCCCGUGCUAACGAGUUCCUGGAGGAGCUGCGCCAGGGCACCAUCGAGCGGGAGUGCAUGGAGGAGAUCUGCAGCUACGAGGAGGUCAAGGAGGUGUUUGAGGACAAGGAGAAAACGAUGGAGUUCUGGAAGGGGUACCCAAACGCCGUCUACUCCGUCCGAGACCCUGCGCAGAGCUCAGACGCCAUGUACGUGGUGGUGCCCCUUCUGGGCGUGGCCUUGCUGAUUGUCAUCGCCUUGUUCAUCAUUUGGAGGUGCCAGCUGCAGAAAGCCACCCGUCACCACCCGUCGUACGCUCAGAACCGGUACCUAGCGAGUCGCGCGGGGCACAGCCUCCCCCGGGUCAUGGUCUACCGGGGCACUGUGCACAGCCAGGGCGAGUCCUCCGGGCACCGGGAGGCAGGGAGCCACCCGCAGGUGGUGCUGGGGCCCAGUCGCGGAGGUAGGACCACGGUCCGCCUCGAGAGCACCCUCUACCUCCCCGAGCUCUCCCUCUCCAGACUGUCCAGCGCCACCCCGCCCCCGUCCUACGAGGAGGUGACUGCUCCCCAGGAGAGCAGCAGCGAGGAGGCGAGCGUCUCUUACAGUGACCCGCCCCCCAAGUACGAAGAGAUAGUGGCCGCCAACCCCGGUUCCGACAAGUAGUGGGACUCGGGUCCCAUCCAGCGGGAAAGCCUCGUUCAGGGGUCUCCUCUUUUCUUUUUAACUUUUUAAAGACUGUGCCACCACAAAACAGCCUUAGCCUCCUCGUUGCCAAAUAAUUUCCCACCCGUGGAUUUGCGGGAAGUCGGUUGUCAGAGACAGGUGGCGGGGGGUAGGGAUCACGCAUGCGCCGCGACCGCGGGCUGGGGGUGGGGGGAGCGAGGAGCCGCGAGCCAGAGAGCCCAUAGCUCUUCCAGAAGCCCCCAGGCCCCUGCCCUCCUGUCCUCCUGUCAGGGCCUGGCUUCUCUUAUGCCAAAGGAAUCCCCCUGUUGAGUUGAUCGUGGCUGGCGACCCGUUUGUCUGAAGCCUCGCCACAGAGACGAGGGAGAGAAGCCAGCCCUUCAGCGCCCUUUUCCCUGACUAGCCCUGCUGGGCUCUAGGGCCUGGCUCACUUGUGACAAGGACAAGGACCGAACAGAACCGGAAAGAGUAACAACCUGACUGAACACAAUACAACACAACGCUGUCCCCUGGGCCGCGCAUAGGGGUUCAAGAGAAAUCAGUGGCACGGAUCUGUGGCACUCCCCUCCCCCAACGCCCACCCCACGCUCCUGACCAGGUUCCGAGGAAUGUCUAGAGCCACCCGGAAGGGGCACGGGGUGUGUGAAGGAUGAGGGGCAGCGCCUGGCUGGCAGAGCUGCCUCCUGCAGGUUGUGGACCUUGGCGUCCCCCAGCCCUUGGCUCGCCGGGCACCGGUACCAGCCGAGCCAGAGCCGCCACCCGCUGGCUCAAGCCCAGGCUUAGGCCGGGGAGGACAGACUGUGGCACCCAGGGUCUUUGAAUGGUUGAGGGCAGGCUGGGGGAGAGAGCUGAAGCGUCCUCCUCCUGAGGGUGGCCCAUAGGAUGAGUAAAGCCAUGCACUUGGCCUUCUCCGAGCUGUGCUCUCUGGCUCCUGGACCUUGGAGGCUAUUCGCCUUUUUGUGAAUAGGUGUGUUGAGAUGAACCUGGUGCCCGCCUGGGGAGAUCGUCAAGGGUCCCUUUGGAGGAGUUUCUUGGUGGGGGGGAUGCGGCAGCCCAUGACCUGGGGUUGAGGGCCCAUCUGGGAUUUGCUCCGUCAUUGCCAGGUGCUGGUCCUUUUUUAGUCCCCCCCUUCUGUGGCCCCGGGAGCUGUCCGCCUCUCCAUUUCGGGGAGGCUUCGGACAGCAGUGGGGCGGAGGUGAGCACACAAAAGACACUGUCGACACUGCCUCCCCACCCCGCCGUCUUCAUCCUCCUGGCCUCAGCACCAAACCAUGUUUCCUCUGUGGUGCUUUACAAAAUGUAGCAAAUUUUUGUGGGGCCCCAAAAGAGUGCACAGCCAGGGUCUAUUGGCAACCACAGCGGUUUAAAACCCACAGAGAAGACAAGCUUCUCUCUGUCUAAACAGCUUUCCAAGGCAAGCCUCGGGCCUCGUUCUUUGACUUCCGGAGGCCCUUCCCGCCCUGGGCCCUCGGCCAGGAACGCACUUCUAGAAAUCUGUAGGUUACACGGGAGUCGGUCUCCUGCCGGUUGAACCUUUCUGCCCCUCCCCCUCGCCCUCCUCCGGAGCUCCCUGAUGCCAGAGGUGCUGACCAGGUGGCAUUCCACCUCUCCCCCUUCCUCUUCCUGCCCGCGGGCCUCUAGCAUGUCCUCGGCCCGUGCCUGUCUGGGACCUGGGAGGAUGCCCAGGAACGCCUGCUCCCUUUGGCCCCUUUGCAGCUGGCCGGAGGUGGGAGCUCUCCGGGUCAGGUGCUUCGCAGCGUUCUUCCACGUGGGGUUGCCACCGUGGGCUCUGGGACGUCUUUUGCAGCAUCUCGUAGAAAACAGACUGUACAGUUCACAAUGGUCAGAACUCCUCGUGGUGCACAUUUGGCUUUUAUGAAUGCCCUGUACAUAUCUUUUGCAACUCUGUCUUUGUACCGACGUUGAUUUGAUACAAUGCUACACCUGCAGUGGCCACAUUUUUGUUGGUUUUGGACUGUGUGUGUGUGUGUGUGUGUGUUUGUGUGUCCGUAUACACGUGUGCACGUUGCCUUUUCUCACACGCUUAUCUGAAACAAUAGCCGGUGUGUGGCUAUAUUUGUACCAGGAGGGUUCCGGUCUGAAGGGAGGAGUGAAGAAAGCCGAGCUUAGCUGUUGGAGCCCGCCAAAGUUGCUUCCUUCCACCCCCUUCCCGAAAGAUUUGGGAAGAAGACGGAGCCACUCCAUGCUGUGGGACCCCCACUGUAACGCCCUGUUGGCGCCGUGCCCCCAGCCUCCACGCCUGCUCUCUGAGCAUCAGCAGCUGAAGGCAAUCUGAGCACUCCUCAGCCUUUUUAUUUUUUUUUUUUUACUUUUAUUUUUCGGUGGAAAGGUGGGUGACUGUUGACUGUGGGAAUGGAAGGGCUAGUUAUUUAGGUAUUUUUCAUUUAAACAAAAAA
rnacentral:lncRNA from 1 species